GAUAUCUGCCUUGGUUCGGAAUAACCCUGGGAAACUGGGGCUAAUACCGGAUGGUUCCUGCGGGAUAAAGAUUUAUCGCCAAAAGAUGAGUCCGCGUACGAUUAGCUAGUUGGUGAGGUAAUGGCUCACCAAGGCGACGAUCGUUAGCUGGUCUGAGAGGACGAUCAGCACACUGGGACUGAGACACGGCCAGACUCCUACGGGAGGCAACAGUGGGGAACUAUUGGACAAUGGGGGCAACCCUGAUCCAGCAUGCCGCGUGAGUGAUGAAGGCCUUCGGGUUGUAAAGCUCUUUUGGCGGGGACGGAUGAUGACGGUACCCGAGAAUAAGCCCCGGGUAAACUUCGUGCCAGAAGCCGCGGUAAGACNANGGGGCUAGCGUAGUCGGAAUUACUGGGGCGUAAAGCGAGUUGUACGGUGGCANCACAACGGUCGGACUGUGACAAAGCCUGAGCACANCUCAAGAACUGGCAUUCAGGANUGCGCAGGACCCACCANGACCGCGANACGCAAAGACAGGGACAAAACCACAGAACUGAUACGAGGCGGCACACACGCCUCGACACGACAAACAGGGCGGUUCAACGAACGAAACGCNGC
rnacentral:rRNA from 1 species